rnacentral:lncRNA from 12 species
GGAGAGAUCUGUCGAGCUGUCACCAGUAUCAGCUCUGAUGGUGCAGAUGUUUACAGUCUGGAGGGGUAUUCUACAGAUCAAGGAUUCAGACAUCAGGAUGUAAUGUGCAGCCUGAAGAUGUUUGCAUCAUGUAUGUGAAGCUUGAUUCAAAGGGACUUAAUGGAUCCUUUGUAUAUAAUUUUUCAGGGAAAUCAGCCUCAUGCUGUUCUUGUGCCACCUCAUGACCAGAAGCUUCCAGUUGAGAUGUCCAAUAUUUGUCAGAUGUUACAGCCGGUGCAGGUUGUGUGUGAUGUGACCGGUGGAGGGCAGGUCGUCGUGCUGAACCAUUGCAGUCCCGAUCAGAUUCCUCACUCUCUGAUGAUGGAUCUCAACACAGUGUCUCUGCCAAAGCCAUCUGAGCAGAGCUGCUCCACUGAGGACCACUCACCUACUGGAAAAGCAUCAGAUGCCAGACAUUCGGAGAAGACCGCGUCCACUGGACUACCUCAGACCCACAAGACAUCUGCAGGUGUCACAUUCAACCUCGCGCCAGGACCUUAUGCUUCACAGGUAGUUUUGCUGGGAAACUGCAUCAGUCAGUUUAAAACAUGGUGUAAAUGGUUAGCAUGUAUAAUAAAGCAGAUAAAUAUAUAUAUAGGCCUAAUACUUCCAUAA